rnacentral:rRNA from 1 species
GACGAACGCUGGCGGCGUGCCUAAUACAUGCAAGUCGUGCGGACCUUUUAAAAGCUUGCUUUUAUGAGGUUAGCGGCGGACGGGUGAGUAACACGUGGGCAACCUACCUGUAAGACUGGGAUAACGCCGGGAAACCGUAGCUAAUACCGGAUCGUAUUUCGUCCCCCUGGGUUCAAAAGUGAAAGAGGGUUCUGCUGUCACUUACAGAUGGGUCCGCGGCGCAUUAGCUAGUUGGUGAGGUAACGGCCCACCAAGGCAACGAUGCGUAGCCGACCUGAGAGGGGGGGUGGCCACAUUGGGAACGAGACAACGCCCAAACUCCUGAGGGGGGGCGCAGUAGGGAAUUGUUCGCAAAGGAGGAAAGGCUGGCGGAGGAACGCCGGGGGAGUGAAGAAGGGCCUCGGGUCGGAAAAACCCGUUGCCGGGGAAGAACCAGAGCCGUUCGAAAAGGGCGGCGCCUUGACGGUACCCGAACAGAAAGCCACGGCUAACUACGUG